ACACUUCGGCAGCCCAUAUACUAAAAUUGAAAUGAUACAGAGAAGAUUAGCAUAGCCUGUGCGCAAGAAUGACAUGCAAAUUCGUGAAGAGUUACAUAUGUAA
ensembl:snRNA U6 U6 spliceosomal RNA